rnacentral:rRNA from 1 species
CCUACGGGCGGCAGCAGUGAGGAAUAUUGGUCAAUGGGCGAGAGCCUGAACCAGCCAAGUCGCGUGAAGGAUGAAGGAUCUAUGGUUUGUAAACUUCUUUUAUAUGGGAAUAAAGUGAGGAACGUGUUCCUUUUUGUAUGUACCAUAUGAAUAAGCAUCGGCUAACUCCGUGCCAGCAGCCGCGGUAAUACGGAGGAUGCGAGCGUUAUCCGGAUUUAUUGGGUUUAAAGGGUGCGUAGGUGGUUAAUUAAGUCAGCGGUGAAAGUUUGUGGCUCAACCAUAAAAUUGCCGUUGAAACUGGUUGACUUGAGUAUAUUUGAGGUAGGCGGAAUGCGCGGUGUAGCGGUGAAAUGCAUAGAUAUCGCGCAGAACCCCGAUUGCGAAGGCAGCGUGCCGUGCCGCCACUGACGCUGAGGCACGAAAGCGCGGGGAUCGAACAGGAUUAGAUACCCUUGUAGUC